rnacentral:rRNA from 1 species
CAGGACGAACGGCUGGCGGCAUGCCUAACACAUGCAAGUCGAACGGAGUAAUGACUUCGGUUAUACUUAGUGGCGAACGGGUGAGUAACACGUGAAUAAUCUGCCCUGUACGAUGGGAUAACAGCUGGAAACGGCUGCUAAUACCGUAUAUGACCACGCCGAGGCAUCUCGGAGGGGUGAAAGCGCUUAAGCGGUACAGGAUGAGUUCGCGUCCAAUUAGCUAGUUGGUGAGGUAACGGCCCACCAAGGCGACGAUUGGUAGCCGACCUGAGAGGGUGAUCGGCCACACUGGAACUGAGACACGGUCCAGACUCCUACGGGAGGCAGCAGUGGGGAAUAUUGGGCAAUGGAGGAAACUUCCUUACCCAGCAAUGCCGCGUGAGUGAUGAAGGUCUUCGGAUUGUAAAGCUCUUUGAUUGGGGACGAAUAAAUGACGGUACCCAAGGAACAAGCCCCGGCUAACUAUGUGCCAGCCGCCGC